rnacentral:rRNA from 1 species
CCUACGGGUGGCAGCAGUGGGGAAUAUUGCACAAUGGGGGAAACCCUGAUGCAGCGACGCCGCGUGAGGGAAGAAGUAAUUCGUUAUGGAAAGCUCUAUCAGCAGGGAAGAAAAUGACGGUACGUGAGUAAGAAGCCACGGCUAACUACGUGCCAGCAGCGGCGGUAAUACGUAGGGGGCAAGCGUUAUCCGGAUUUACUGGGUGUAAAGGGAGCGUAGACGGCAGUGCAAGUCUGCAGUGAAAGGCGGGGGCUCAACCCUCGGACUGCUCUGGAAACUGUACGGCUGGAGUGCAGGUGAGGUAAGUGGAAUUCGUAGUGUAGCGGUGAAAUGCGUAGAUAUUACGAGGAACUCCAGUGGCGAAGGCAGCUUACUGGACUGUAACUGACGUUGAGGCUCGAAAGCGUGGGGAGCAAACAGGAUUAGAUACCCCAGUAGUC